UGGAGGCAGCAGUGAGGAAUUUUGGACAAUGGGGGCAACCCUGAUCCAGCCAUUCCGCGUGAGUGAAGAAGGCCUUCGGGUUGUAAAGCUCUUUCGGCAGGAACGAAACGGCGCGCUCUAACAUAGUGCGUCAAUGACGGUACCUGAAGAAGAAGCACCGGCUAACUACGUGCCAGCAGCCGCGGUAAUACGUAGGGUGCGAGCGUUAAUCGGAAUUACUGGGCGUAAAGCGUGCGCAGGCGGUUUUGUAAGACAGAUGUGAAAUCCCCGGGCUUAACCUGGGAACUGCGUUUGUGACUGCAAGACUUGAGUGCGGCAGAGGGGGGUGGAAUUCCACGUGUAGCAGUGAAAUGCGUAGAGAUGUGGAGGAACACCGAUGGCGAAGGCAGCCCCCUGGGUCGACACUGACGCUCAUGCACGAAAGCGUGGGUAGCAAACAGGAUUAGAUACCCCGGUAGUCCU
rnacentral:rRNA from 1 species